CGGGACGGGUGAGUAACGCGUGGGUAACCUGCCUCAUACAGGGGGAUAACAGUUAGAAAUGACUGCUAAUACCGCAUAAGACCACAGCACCGCAUGGUGCAGGGGCAAAAACUCCGGUGGUAUGAGAUGGACCCGCGUCUGAUUAGGUAGUUGGUGGGGUAACGGCCCACCAAGCCGACGAUCAGUAGCCGACCUGAGAGGGUGACCGGCCACAUUGGGACUGAGACACGGCCCAG
rnacentral:rRNA from 1 species